UUCAGUAAUUUCAUUACCCAUUAAAUUGACAGCUUAAUUUUUAAUGUAAUGUAGGUUGACUGUGAUGAGCACAAGAGUUUGUGCAGCAAAUAUGGAGUCUCUGGGUACCCAACAAUUCAAUGGUUUCCAAAAGGAUCUCUUGAACCCAAAAAGUAUGAAGGGCCACGCACUGCUGAUUCACUUGCUGAGUUUGUAAAUACGGAAGGAGG